CAUCCUUUGUUCACUGCUACGUUCCCAUAUGUAGUGCUUGAAAUCAAAGUCAGGACCUCAUACUUGUAAGUUGGGUCCUCUACCCAUGGUGCUACUUCCUGGACCACUCAACCCACUUCUUCUUUCAGACAGACAGAAACAAACAGAGCAGAGGCCCCACAGCACCAGAGAUUCCUCUGACACCAUGGCUCUUCCAUGAGGUACUGGUACUCAAACCUGUACCUUGCACGAGAAACGUGCCCUUACUUCCUCAGACAGCAGGAACCUCCCACUUCCUCUAUAGAGCCUAUAUUUCCCCCAGUCCUGGAACCUCUAGGGUGGGGCUCACUUUCCUGCAUGCUUCUCUCAAUUCAUACCAAAUGAUAUUGUAUCCGCCGAUCCCAAACUUAUCAACUCAACGAGUACCACCUCAGCAUGCUUCACUUCAGACUGUGUCCAGAGAUGUCAGGCAUGGAAUGUCAACCCUUCACCCUCAUUACUUGGGUGAGACCUUUCCUUUCAAGGUUCUAGAUGCUAGCAGGAUGCCAACCAGACUUCCCUGGACAGUCAACCUCACCAAAGUGUCCUGGAGCUCUGCUUCCCCAGAGCCCUUCCCCAAUAGGG